UACGGAGGGUGCAAGCGUUAUCCGGAUUCACUGGGUUUAAAGGGUGCGUAGGCGGGUAGGUAAGUCAGUGGUGAAAUCUUCGAGCUUAACUCGGAAACUGCCUUUGAUACUAUCUAUCUUGAAUAUUGUGGAGGUAAGCGGAAUAUGUCAUGUAGCGGUGAAAUGCUUAGAUAUGACAUAGAACACCAAUUGCGAAGGCAGCUCGCUACACGAAUAUUGACUCUGAGGCACGAAAGCGUGGGGAUCAAACAGG
rnacentral:rRNA from 1 species